AAAUAAAACAAAUUUGAUGUUGAUUUGAAUGUUCACUAAACUUACACCUCUUGCUUAGUCAAGAAAAAUGAUCUACAUUUUUCUUGAACUGGGAUGACGGGGUAAUUGUAACCGUUAGUUCCAACUUUUAAGCUUGUUGGCUCCUCCACAAGUUCCCUGCCUAAAAGUCACCCCUGCCAGUGAGAACCUAUAAUUCCUAGACCCACCCUAAUAAAUAUAACUGACAGCCUCACUGGUGGCUGAAUCCUUAGCUGUCAGGAAAAAUGCGCAGAGCCACCCGUUUAAGACAGUCGCACUCGUUAUAGCCACUCGCACUCACACUCAUUGACAGCGGUUCGGGUUAAGGUCGUAUGUAACCCCACAAAUCAAAAUUGGGUUACACUUGGAAGGGUAGCCAGAUUUUGAGCCGAAGGGAUACAUUUGUCAAACCUCGGGUUUGUAUGGAAUUUACUACCUACAGAUUAUAAAAAGGAAUGAAUCACCUCGUGAAGCUUCUUUUCUGUCCUAGACCAGUUAGAAAAAGUGCGCGUUGCUUUAAAACAAAAUUAUAAAAUAAAAAUUGGCUGUUAAAAUCAAGUGAUAAGACAAACGGAGAUAAAAUCAAUAAUUUACGUGCUAUUAGUACGCUAAUUGAUGAGAAGAAAAAAAAACAAGUGUAAAAUAGUACAGAGAAUCAAAUAAGAAAAGGUCCAUAAUUGGGCCUUUUCUUUUUCUUCUUUUGGACGUCUGGAGUUCAUUCCGGAGAUCCGACUACGGCCAAUAGGUUUCCCGAGAGCAUAGGCAGGAUUGGGCCACAUUUAUAGGCAGGAUUGGGCAACCGUUAUCGAACUCGUCGGCCACGAGUGUUUCAUCGACGCCAUCUUGGAAACAGGCACAUACGACCACAGUCCGCCAUUUUGGAAUUCGGCAGUUCUCGCUUCUUCGUGGCCAACCCGCCUCGAAGGCACUCCGUCCGGACAACUCACCACAUCGUCCAGCCAACCUGUUCCCUCGUCUUUCAAGAAUUCGAUUCCGAGAACCGGUCGAAAGUGGACGGCCUGUCGGAUGUUCCGACCAAUCUGUGUCCAGAGCCAAUUACUCUUCCAAACCUUAGCCGCUUCGUGUGCGAGCCGACCGUAAACCACCGCCAUCGAGCCCAACGGACAACCCGCUGCUAGGGUUAACCUACCGUGGUCAUCCGCCACCAGCCCACCCGAUACUCCGGCCAUCAUUACCGUCCGAUCUGCGAAACUGACAGCUAUAACAACGUCAGUCCCCACCCCCCCCAGUCGCCUGGCCAUCAUCCUCCGGACAAUACACCAAGCUAGCCAACGUCGUCAUCAAAAAAAAAAACCGCAAGUACACCAUUAUGUAACAACCUCCCUAUGAACGACCAUGCUCCUGCGUGAGC